UACAGAGGUCUCAAGCGUUGUUCGGAUUCAUUGGGCGUAAAGGGUGCGUAGGUGGCGGGGUAAGUCAGGUGUGAAAUUUCGGAGCUUAACUCCGAAACUGCAUUUGAUACUGCCUUGCUUGAGGACUGGAGAGGAGACUGGAAUUCACGGUGUAGCAGUGAAAUGCGUAGAGAUCGUGAGGAAUACCAGUGGCGCAAGCGGCGCUCUGGGUCGCAUCUGACACUGAGACGCGAAGGCAUGGGGAGCGAACGGG
rnacentral:rRNA from 1 species